rnacentral:misc_RNA from 1 species
GAUGAAGAACGUAGUGAAAUGCGAUAAGUAAUGUGAAUUGCAGAAUUCAGUGAAUCAUCGAAUCUUUGAACGCACCUUGCACCCUUUGGCAUUCUGAAGGGUAUGCUCGUUUGAGUGUCAUUGUACUCUCACACUCCCGAUCUUUGCAUUGGGAGCAGUGGACUUGGGUUUGCUGCUUCACCGUCGCUUACCUCAAAUAGGUUAGUGCAACUCUUGGUUGGACAUAGUACGGCGUGAUAAGUGUUCUUCGCCGGUGCCUCGCAAAGAGGGUGGCCGAUCGGGAUGUUGUGCUCCAAACCGUCUUCGGACAAUCUCUGACGACUUGACCUCAAAUCGGGUAAGACUACCCGCUGAACUUAAGCAUAUCAAUAAGCGGAGGA